CCUACGGGGGGCUGCAGUGGGGAAUAUUGCACAAUGGGCGCAAGCCUGAUGCAGCCAUGCCGCGUGUGUGAAGAAGGCCUUCGGGUUGUAAAGCACUUUCAGUGGGGAGGAAGGCGGUGAGGUUAAUAACCUCAUCGAUUGACGUUACCCGCAGAAGAAGCACCGGCUAACUCCGUGCCAGCAGCCGCGGUAAUACGGAGGGUGCAAGCGUUAAUCGGAAUUACUGGGCGUAAAGCGCACGCAGGCGGUCUGUCAAGUCGGAUGUGAAAUCCCCGGGCUCAACCUGGGAACUGCAUUCGAAACUGGCAGGCUAGAGUCUUGUAGAGGGGGGUAGAAUUCCAGGUGUAGCGGUGAAAUGCGUAGAGAUCUGGAGGAAUACCGGUGGCGAAGGCGGCCCCCUGGACAAAGACUGACGCUCAGGUGCGAAAGCGUGGGGAGCAAACAGGAUUAGAUACCCUAGUAGUC
rnacentral:rRNA from 1 species